GGCGCGAUGGCCGAGUGGUUAAGGCGACAGAUUAGAAUGUUCUUGGGUUCCUUGCACUGCUUUAUCUGUUUCGGUUUCCGAGCGCAGGUUCAAGUCCUGCUCGCGUCG